rnacentral:misc_RNA from 1 species
AAUUCUCAACCUCACAUCCCUUGUGGUGUGAAGGUUGGAUAUGGGAGCUGCUGGCCUUUUGGGUCAGCUCUUCUGAAAUCCAUUAGCAGGGCCUUUGUAUGCAAAACUGCAGCUUGGUAAUGAUGGGAUGUCUUACCAGGUCACAGACAAGCAUGUGCUUUGCUCACAGCCGUCUCUUUGAGACAAACCCACUUGACA